rnacentral:rRNA from 1 species
CUGAACGCUGGCGGCGUGGCUAAGACAUGCAAGUCGCACGGGGUAGCAAUACCCAGUGGCGAACGGGAGAGUAAUGAAUCGCUAACGUACCCCGGACCCUGGGAUAGCUACCCGAAAGGGUAGGUAAUACCAGAUGAUACAACCUUGUCGCAUGGCAGGGUUUUCAAAGGUCCGCCGGUCUGGGAGCGGGCGAUUUCGUAUCAGCUAGUUGGUGAGGUAACGGCUCACCAAGGCGACGACGCGUAGCCGGACUGAGAGGUUGGCCGGCCUCAUUGGGACUGAGACACUGCCCAGACUCCUACGGGGGGCUGCAGUAACGAAUCUUCCGCAAUGCACGAAAGUGUGACGGAGCGACGCCGCGUGUGGGACGAAGUCCUUCGGGAUGUAAACCACUGUCAGGGGUUACCAAGUUCUGAGGAGCCCCAGAGGAAGGCACGGCUAACUCUAGUGCCAGCAGCCGCGGUAAGACAGAGGUGCCAAGCGUUAGGCGGAAUCACUGGGCUUAAAGCGCUGUGUAGGUGGACUGGCCUAAGUACCUUGUGAAAUCCCACGGCUCAACCGUGGAACUGCUUGGUAUACUGCUUCUCUUGAGCCAUCCUAGGGGCUAGUCUGGAACAAACGGUGGAGCGGUGAAAUGCGUAGAUAUCGCUUUGGAACGCCAAAGGUGAAAACAGACAUUGCUGGGGAGUGUAGCUGACGCUGAGACACGAAAGCCAGGGGAGCGAACGGGAUUAGAUACCCCGGUAGUCCUGGCCCUAAACGAUGUCCGACUAGAUCAGUAGUGCCUCUUGACGGUAUUACGUGUCGAAGCAAAAGUGCUAAGUGGACCGCCUGGGAAGUACGGUCGCAAGGCUAAAACUCAAAGGAAUUGACGGGGGCUCACACAAGCGGUGGAGCAUGUGGUUAAUUCGAAGCAACGCGCAGAACCUUACCUGGGCUUGACAUGCCAGGAUUAUCCCUAUGAAAGUAGGGUAGGCCCUUCGGGGUACAACUGGUACAGGUGCUGCAUGGCUGUCGUCAGCUCGUGUCGUGAGAUGUCGGGUUAAGUCCCUUAACGAGCGAAACCUUUGCCCUUAGUUACCAGCGGGUUAUGCCGGGGACUCUAAGGGGACUGCCGGUGUCAAACCGGAGGAGGGUGGAGAUGACGUCAAGUCCUCAUGGCCUUUAUGCCCAGGGCCACACACGUGCUACAAUGCGGCGCACGAAGCGAACCUAAACGCGCAAGUCUGAGGAAAUCGCAGCAAAUCGUCGCCCAGUUCAGAUUGGAGGCUGCAACUCGCCUCCAUGAAGUUGGAAUCGCUAGUAAUCGCGGAUCAGCUACGCCGCGGUGAAUGUGUUCCUGAGCCUUGUACACACCGCCCGUCAAGUCAUGGGAGCCGGAAAUAGCCGAAGGCCGCCUCGAUACAGAUGUGGUCCUACGCUAGGUUCGGUGACUGGGACU